CAAGGCGAUGACGGUUAGCUGGUAUCAGAGGAUGGUCAGCCACACUGGGAGUGAGAUACUCCCCAGACUCCUACGGGAGGAUGCAGUCGAGAAUCAUUCGCAAUGGGCGCAAGCCGGACGGUGGGCAGUCGCGUAGAGUAUGAAGGUCUUCGGAUUGUAAACUCAUGUCAUGUGGGAGAAAUGGCCCGGGUUUGAACAGGACCUGGGAAUGAUAGUACCCCAGGAGGAAGGGCCGGCUAACUUUGUGCCAGCAGCCGCGGUAAUUCAGAGGUCCCCAGCGUUGUUCGGAUUUACUGGGCGUAAAGGGAGGGUAGGCGGUUCGGUAUGUUGAAUGUGAAAGCCCACAACUCAACUGUGGAAAUGCAUUCGAAACUGCCGGGCUAGAGUACUGGAGAGGAGAGCGGAAUUCUUGGUGUAGCGGUGAAAUGCGUAGAUAUCAAGAGGAACACCGGUGGCGAAGGCGGCUCUCUGGACAGAUACUGACGCUGAGGCUCUAAAGUUAGGGGAGCAAACAGGAUUAGAUACCCUGGUAGUCCUAACUGUAAACGGUGUACACUUGGUGUGCGAGGAAUUGUCCCCUUUGCGCGC
rnacentral:rRNA from 1 species